rnacentral:rRNA from 1 species
UAAACAACCCACUCGCCCGAGUAUUACCAGCACAAGCUAAAAACUCAAAAGACUUGACGGUGCUCUGCCCAACCUAGAGGAGCCUGUCCUUUAAUCGAUACUCCACGAUCUACCCAACCACUACUAGCAACUCCAGCCUAUAUACCGCCGUCGAAAGUAUAUCCCCCAAGGGACACAUAAUUUUCCAAAUAGUCCCCCACUAAAACGUCAGGCCAAGGCAUAGCUAAUGUAAUGGCAGAGAUGGGCUACAUUUUCUAAUUGAAGAACACACGAAAGAUGAUAUGAAACCUGUCAUCCAAAGGUGGAUUUAGCAGUAAGAUGAAAA